rnacentral:misc_RNA from 1 species
GGUAAUGUAUCGAUUAUGGAAAGGGAAUUUGAAAAGCUAUAUGUCUGUGAAUCAACACUGAGGAAGUCCCAAACCUCAAUGGAGUUGGAAACACUCGGGAGCUGCAGCAGUUUCUUCAUAUAUUCUUUAAGAAAUUUGCAUCUUUCUCGAAUGACUUGAACAUCCAGACCUGUGGAGAGAAAAUGUUUGGGUGGCAAAUGAAGAUUGUACUCAGGAUACUCCUUAAGACGUCUGUGUAGCUCCUCAAAAUGACGAAACCUUCUUUUGAUGGACCAGCUAUGAUUGUUCACAUCUGUAACAGAUAAGCAAUAAACGGCAAAAGUUUU